rnacentral:rRNA from 1 species
AUUGAACGCUGGCGGCAUGCUUUACACAUGCAAGUCGAACGGUAACAGGUUAAGCUGACGAGUGGCGAACGGGUGAGUAAUGCAUCGGAACGUGCCCGAUCGUGGGGGAUAACGCAGCGAAAGCUGCGCUAAUACCGCAUACGAUCUGAGGAUGAAAGCGGGGGACCGUAAGGCCUCGCGCGAUCGGAGCGGCCGAUGUCAGAUUAGGUAGUUGGUGGGGUAAAAGGCUCACCAAGCCGACGAUCUGUAGCUGGUCUGAGAGGACGACCAGCCACACUGGGACUGAGACACGGCCCAGACUCCUACGGGAGGCAGCAGUGGGAAUUUGGACAAUGGCGAAAGCCUGAUCCAGCAAUGCCGCGUGCAGGA